rnacentral:rRNA from 1 species
CCUACGGGAGACUGCAGUGGGGAAUAUUGCGCAAUGGGCGAAAGCCUGACGCAGCGACGCCGCGUGAGGGAUGAAGGUCUUCGGAUCGUAAACCUCUUUUGUCGGGGAGCAAAGCGAGUCACGUGUGACUCAUUGAGAGUACCCGAAGAAAAAGCAUCGGCUAACUCCGUGCCAGCAGCCGCGGUAAUACGGAGGAUGCGGGCGUUAUCCGGAUUUAUUGGGUUUAAAGGGUGCGCAGGCGGAGGUGCAAGUCAGCGGUCAAAUUGCGGGGCUCAACCCCGUACUGCCGUUGAAACUGCAUCCCUUGAGUGCGCGAGAAGUAUGCGGAAUGCGUGGUGUAGCGGUGAAAUGCAUAGAUAUCACGCAGAACUCCGAUUGCGAAGGCAGCAUACCGGCGCGCAACUGACGCUCAUGCACGAAAGCGUGGGUAUCGAACAGGAUUAGAUACCCUGGUAGUC